rnacentral:rRNA from 1 species
AGGAUGAACGCUGGCGGCGUGCUUAACACAUGCAAGUCGAACGAUGAAGGCUGGAGCUUGCUCUGGCUGGAUUAGUGGCGAACGGGUGAGUAACACGUGAGUAACCUGCCCCAGACUCUGGGAUAAGCGCUGGAAACGGCGUCUAAUACCGGAUACGAGCUUCCACCGCAUGGUGAGGAGCUGGAAAGAAUUUCGGUCUGGGAUGGACUCGCGGCCUAUCAGCUUGUUGGUGAGGUAAUGGCUCACCAAGGCGACGACGGGUAGCCGGCCUGAGAGGGUGACCGGCCACACUGGGACUGAGACACGGCCCAGACUCCGUACGGGAGGCAGCAGUGGGGAA